AACGAGACCUUAACCUGCUAAAUAGCCCGGCUAGCUUUGGCUGGUCGCUGGCUUCUUAGAGGGACUUACGGCUCAAGCCGAAUGAAGUUUUGCGCUAUAACAGGUCUAAGAUGCCAGGGAAGUUUCUGGGCCGCCAGCGCGAAACAAUGACAGCGCCAACGAGUUUAGAGAAAAAAACGAAAGGUCUGGGUAAUCUGGGGAAACUCU
rnacentral:rRNA from 1 species